rnacentral:rRNA from 1 species
UUGGAGGGCAAGUCUGGUGCCAGCAGCCGCGGUAAUUCCAGCUCCAAUAGCGUAUAUUAAAGUUGUUGCAGUUAAAAAGCUCGUAGUUGAAUUUCGGGGUUAGUAGGUUGGUCAUGCCUCUGGUAUGUACUGGUCUCACUGAUUCCUCCUUCCUGAUGAACCUUAAUGCCAUUAAUUUGGUGUUUUGGGGAAUUUGGACUGUUACUUUGAAAAAAUUAGAGUGUUUAAAGCGAGCUAACGCUUGAAUACAUUAGCAUGGAAUAAUGAAAUAGGACGUUCGAUCCUAUUUUGUUGGUUUCUAGGAUUGACGUAAUGAUUAAUAGGGAUAGUUGGGGGCAUUAGUAUUCAAUUGUCAGAGGUGAAAUUCUUGGAUUUAUUGAAGACUAACUACUGCGAAAGCAUUUGCCAAGGAUGUUUUCAUUAAUCAAGAACGAAAGUUAGGGGAUCGAAGACGAUCAGAUACCGUCGUAGUCUUAACCAUAAACUAUGCCGACUAGGGAUCGGACGAAGUUAAUUUUAUAAUGACGCGUUCGGCACCUUACGGGAAACCAAAGUGUUUGGGUUC